rnacentral:rRNA from 1 species
UACAGAGGUCUCAAGCGUUGUUCGGAUUCAUUGGGCGUAAAGGGUGCGUAGGUGGCGCUGUAAGUCGGGUGUGAAAUCUUGGAGCUUAACUCCGAAACUGCAUUCGAUACUGCCGUGCUUGAGGACUGGAGAGGAGACUGGAAUUUACGGUGUAGCGGUGAAAUGCGUAGAUAUCGGGAGGAACACCGGUGGCGAAGGCGGUUCUCUGGGCCUUACCUGACGCUGAGGAGCGAAAGCGUGGGGAGCGAACAGG